AAUAGAGCUCGCGUUAGUCUCCCACCUUCAACAUUCUCGAGUCAAUAGUCCCAACGUCUCCUGCCAUCACCCAGUCUUCGGCUCUCAACUCGACACCAUUGGCGGCAAAGGAAAAUUGGAUUAUCGCCGCCGGUAAGUCAUGACGUUUUCUUCUCCAAUUUUCAUGAAUUUUCUUGUUUGUUUUUUGAGACAAAUUUGGGAAAGAAAAGACAACAAAAUGUUGGCCUCUGCAUAGUACAAAAUUUGGGUCUGAUAUUAAUUUCUGUCAUCAGGAGAGCAAAAAGAUAAAAACUUUCAUCUGGGUACAAGUCAUAUUAGGGAUUUUUGACGUUAAUUGGUUCCAAGUUGAGUUUUUGAGGCUUGAUCAUCUUAUUGUUUGAACUUUCUGAGAAUGGUUCAUAUUUGGAUAGUAGUGCUGUUAAUAAAGUUGUCUUCUUUGUCUCUGAAUUCUCAUUUCUAUAGUGUUCUUGUUGUUCAUCUCAUCCAUUAAUGUUUUCUAUUGUUGUUGUUGAUGAUGUUUGUUUAAACUCAGAAACAUCUCAUCCAUUAAUGUUUUCUAUUGUUGUUGUUGAUGAUGUUUGUUUAAACUCAGAAACGAUUCUACAAAUUACUAUAUACAGAUAAGAUUGUUAGCUGGGCUUUAACAUGUGAGCCAUCAAUAUAAGGAGACUUUGAGGACCUGAAAAAAUUCUAACCCAAAGCUAUAAGUUUUUGAAAACUGUUGUAGAUUCGCUCAAGCAUUUCUUAGAUUCUUUCUAUUCAUUGUUUUUUUUUCCAUAUGGUAUGUUCUUAUUGAGCUAUUUUGUGAUAGUAGCUGUUUGCUAGUUACGGGGUUUUUUCUGGGUAGAAGUGUACUGUGUUGAUGUGGAUCUUGAUUUGGUAUUUUUUUGUUGGAACAUGGCUGUAAUUAAGGAUGAUUGUGUUUUUAAAUUGUGAAAUUUUAGUUUGGAUGAAAACUAGUGUGCCUCUGCCUAUAAGCUGUGACAAAGCCUUAAGUGUUUUCUUCAAAUUGGACUUGGAAACAGGAAUUUAUUUUACAGAUACCAUGGUUGAGCAAGUUAAGAAGGAAAUAGGAAAAACACAAAUUUUAAAGGGCAUGCUACUUUCACCAAUGUAAAGAACACGCCGAUUAACGAUCGGAUCCAGUUUAAGUACUGCAAUAGCAUCAACACCUGAUGCUUGAGACUAUAUGAGGGUAAGUGCAUAAUGGUUAUACAAUUUUUCUCUCCCUUUUCUUAGCAUAAAGGUACAACACAUGUUCUGCUGGAUUAUUCCAUAUUUAUGUGCAGAUAGGUUCAUCCGCUAGCUGAAAGAUUUUGUGUUGAUGAAUUGGUGAUUGGAUUGCCUCAACUAAGAUGAAGGGACACAACUGCUAUAGACAAAGGCAUUUGCGAGGACUUGAGAUAUCUCGGACAGGGAUAAGGGCACCGUAAAACUACUGAGCUUCCUCCCUUGAUGAUGGCAUUCAUAAAUUGAAGGAAGAAUGGGGAGAUCAAGAUGAUCAUAGAUGCCAAAAGUAUCAUUCUCCCAGUAAAAGUGCCGGACGUUAGCGACAUCAAUCAAAGGCAUCAAUGGGUUGGACUUGCCUACCAUAUUUGAAGGCAUUUAAAAAUUUUGCAGAAAGCAAAUUGGUUGGAUAGUCUAGUAGCUUAUCUUCGUAUUUAGAUGUGUGACCAUUGUCAUCUAUGUUUUGUAGGUGAAUGUUUUAUAUGACAUGGUCUCAUCUCAUGGUGCAUAACAUGAAGCUUUUCUUGACAGACAUGAAAGUAGAUUUUGCUAAUGAAGAAUCUGAAGAACAAAGAACUUCCGGCUUCAGAAUUAUAUAUUGCAGCUGCUUCUAUAUAGAAAUGAGAACCAAAUUAAGAGGAGCUGAAUAUAUUUUUGUUGAGGGUGAUUAUUGCUUUGCUGGGAUUUUUUCUCUGAAUUCGCAACUUUUCUGAAAUUAAAAAAAUGCAGUUGAUAAUUGAAAACGAGGCUUCACUUAUUGAUGAGUGAGGAGUGAUUACGAC
rnacentral:lncRNA from 1 species